UACGGGGGGGGCAAGCGUUGUUCGGAAUUACUGGGCGUAAAGGGCUCGUAGGCGGCCAACUAAGUCAGACGUGAAAUCCCUCGGCUUAACCGGGGAACUGCGUCUGAUACUGGAUGGCUUGAGUUCGGGAGAGGGAUGCGGAAUUCCAGGUGUAGCGGUGAAAUGCGUAGAUAUCUGGAGGAACACCGGUGGCGAAGGCGGGUCUCUGGGCCGAUACUGACGGCUGAGGAGCGAAAGCGUGGGGAGCGAACAGG
rnacentral:rRNA from 1 species